rnacentral:rRNA from 1 species
GUCGAGAGGCUUCCACAAUGGGGGAAACCCUGAUGGAGCGACGCCGCGUGGGUGAUGAAGGUCUUCGGAUCGUAAAGCCCUUUCAGUAAGGAUGAAGUUAUUCUGUGCUAAUACCACAGAGUAAAGGACGGUACUUACAGAAGAAGCUCCGGCUAACUCCGUGCCAGCAGCCGCGGUAAGACGGAGGGAGCAAGCGUUGUUCGGAUUUACUGGGCGUAAAGGGCGUCUAGGCUGAUUUGAAAGUCAGAUGUGAAAUCCCCCGGCUCAACCGGGGACCUGCAUUUGAUACUUCAAGUCUUGAGUACGGAAGAGGAGAGCGGAAUUCCUGGUGUAGCGGUGAAAUGCGUAGAUAUCAGGAAGAACACCGGUGGCGAAGGCGGCUCUCUGGUCCGAUACUGACGCUGAAGCGCGAAAGUGCGGGGAGCAAACAGGAUUAGAAACCCCUGUAGUCC